CCCUUAGAUGUUCUGGGCCGCACGCGCGCUACACUGAUACAAUCAACAAGUGCCUUUUGCCGACGGGUGAAGAGGACUCUUGUGAGUUUGUAUCGUGAUGGGAACAAACGAUUGCAAUUAUUCGUUUCGAACGAGGAAUUCCUAGUAAGCGCGAGUCAUCAGCUUGUGCUGAUUACGUCCCUGCCCUUUGUACACACCGCCCGUCGCUCCUACCGAUUGGGUGUGCUGGUGAAAUGUUCGGAUCGGCCGUUUGUCGCGGUUUCCGCGGCUCGUGGCUGAGAAGUUCAUUAAACCCUCCCACCUAGAGGAAGGAGAAGUCGUAACA
rnacentral:rRNA from 1 species